rfam:Synergistales bacterium 54_24 S_scaffold_349, whole genome shotgun sequence.
GGUCUGGCCCCGUGCAGCGAAGGCCCGUGAACCCCGCCAGGCCCGGAAGGGAGCAACGGUAAGCGGUAACCUUCGGGUGCCACGGCGAAGCUGGGUCUCC